rnacentral:rRNA from 1 species
UGGGGAAUUUUGGACAAUGGGCGAAAGACUGAUCCAGCAAUGCCGCGUGUGUGAAGAAGGCCUUCGGGUUGUAAAGCACUUUUGUCCGGAAAGAAAUCCUUGGCUCUAAUACAGUCGGGGGAUGACGGUACCGGAAGAAUAAGCACCGGCUAACUACGUGCCAGCAGCCGCGGUAAUACGUAGGGUGCAAGCGUUAAUCGGAAUUACUGGGCGUAAAGCGUGCGCAGGCGGUUUGCUAAGACCGAUGUGAAAUCCCCGGGCUCAACCUGGGAACUGCAUUGGUGACUGGCAGGCUAGAGUAUGGCAGAGGGGGGUAGAAUUCCACGUGUAGCAGUGAAAUGCGUAGAGAUGUGGAGGAAUACCGAUGGCGAAGGCAGCCCCCUGGGCCAAUACUGACGCUCAUGCACGAAAGCGUGGGGAGCAAACAGGAUUAGAUACCCUGGUAGUCCACGCCCUAAAACGAUGUCAACUAGUUGUUGGGGAUUCAUUUCCUUAGUAACGUAGCUAACGCGUGAAGUUGACCGCCUGGGGAGUACGGUCGCAAGAUUAAAACUCAAAGGAAUUGACGGGGUCAUAGCUGUUUCCU